rnacentral:rRNA from 1 species
AAGAUCGGUGCUUGCACUGAUCCGAUCGAGUGGCGGACGGGUGAGUAACGCGUGGGUAACCUGCCUCAUACAGGGGAAUAACAGUUGGAAACGGCUGCUAAAACCGCAUAAGCGCACAGUACCGCAUGGUACGGUGUGAAAAACUCCGGUGGUGUGAGAUGGACCCGCGUCUGAUUAGCCAGUUGGCGGGGUAACGGCCCACCAAGGCGACGAUCAGUAGCCGGUCUGAGAGGAUGAACGGCCACAUUGGGACUGAGACACGGCCCAAACUCC